CAGACAUUUAAAUAUAUUGGUAUUAAAUGCAUUUUCUGAGAAUUUAUAUUUUAUGUUUUGACUGCAAAUGUCACGUCCAUAACGCUGGAAUUGCCCACGUACUGUUUACCUGAAAUAAGAAAAGUUAAAACUUAUUACAGUUGCGGAAUUUUUCCUGCUCUCCUGACAUCUUGCAAUGAUUUCUGGGUUAUCAGAUGCGUUCUCGCUGAACAAGUCACCAACCCAUGCAUCCUCGUUAAAAGAGGCGGAUGAAGUACACAUCCAGGCAUUUAAUGCGUUCUUGGUAACUUGCAUUAUUUGGAUUGGAACCGAGAAGGUGCUGGAAGAUGGCAGCUUAUGCACACAAACUUUUGCAAGCUAGUUAUCGAUGUCUCUAUUUUUACGGAUAUCUCAAAAUUCUCUUGUCUAAAUAUACUCAGAUAAACCAAAAUAACAUUUUAACACGAUAUUGUACAUUUUUGAAAUAGUAAAUAGUUAAAAAAAAAAUAUGUCAAGAUCAAAAUCUACCUCAGGAAAUUUCUCUACAAACGCUAAAGGACCUAGCACCAUUGGCAGCAGUGCCAAGGUUACUACAAGUGGAAACUCUUCUGACCACAACUAUGUCCUAAGUUCGCCUUCAGUGGGACCGAACGAGAAACGAAGGGAUUCAUCACACCUUUCCCCUAUUAAGGGACUUCGUUCAAAAAAAGAUAAGCACGAAGAGGAAGAAGGUAUGGAAUCGGGAGUGGAGGAUGUUUCCAAUAGGAUACUCCUUGAUGCCAUCAACAUGCUUACAAACAGAUUUGAUAAGCAAGACAAGACCCUCGAGGACACAAUUGCUCAAAUUAAGCAAUAUAGCCUUAUAAUUACCAAUGCAACAAAGGCAAUUUAAUUUAAUGCUACGGAGAUAAAAGAAAAUACAGAGAAGACUGUCAAAAGAAAGUGUCACUACUCCUCAAAGACAACGAGGAAAUGAAAACCAAAGCUGCGGAACUGGCGUGCUAUAAACGCAGAUGGAACCUCAGAAUAAAUGGAAUGAAAGAGAAUCAUUCACACGAGGAAAAUACCAGAGAGGAAAUCAUCCGUCUUCUAGCAAAGAUUGCACCCCACUUGUCAGGGAAGCUCGAGGAUGUAGUGGAUGUUGUGCAUUGGAUAGGUCGGAAGGAGGAAAAGAAACAUAGACAGGUGAUUAUACAAUUCAGCAUGCGUCGAUACCGAGGUAAGUUUUGGAAAAUCACAAAGACAACUCCCGUAUGCAAGGAACAUGGCAUUCGGUUUGCUGAAGACUUUAUAUCUCAGUAGAGAAAGUAGGGUACUUAUAUUUUAGUUCGAUAACACUUUACAGGCAGUUCUUACAUAUUAGUUAGCCUGUGUUACGAGGUUAUGUUUCCGUUAAAACAUUCUUUACAACGAGGAAAACAUUCAAAGACAACGAGGAAAUGAAAACCAAAGCUGCGGAACUGGCGUGCUAUAAACGCAGAUGGAACCUCAGAAUAAAUGGAAUGAAAGAGAAUCAUUCACACGAGGAAAAUACCAGAGAGGAAAUCAUCCGUCUUCUAGCAAAGAUUGCACCCCACUUGUCUGGGAAGCUCGAGGAUGUAGUGGAUGUUGUGCAUUGGAUAGGUCGGAAGGAGGAAAAGAAACAUAGACAGCGGAUGGGCUCCGGCGUUCGACGUCACCGGCCUUCUGACACCAUCGUCCAUCUCAUCAUGCUUUUCACCUGUGUCCUGUUUAACGCACCUGUUCCUCAUCCUCAUCAUUUCCCCCCAGUAUAUAUGUUCCCUCUGCUCCCCCUGUCUUUGUGUGUAAUUGUCUCUAUAUAUAAGAAAGAGCAGUGUACGCUUCGAUUCUAUUAAAAACACUGUAUAACGAUCACGCAAUUCUCCUGCUCCUCCUUUAUCCACCCCCCGAAGAUGUGACAUCACUGACGAAUUGUUUUGUUUUUAUAAGGAGUAAUAUUCCUCGUCUUACUCUUUUACUGAUUGCAAUGGUGUUUUUGAG
ensembl:lncRNA